rnacentral:rRNA from 1 species
AAUCCAUAGGUUAAUGAGGCGAACCGGGGGAACUGAAACAUCUAAGUACCCCGAGGAAAAGAAAUCAACCGAGAUUCCCCCAGUAGCGGCGAGCGAACGGGGAGGAGCCCAGAGCCUGAAUCAGCAUGUGUGUUAGUGGAAGCGUCUGGAAAGGCGCGCGAUACAGGGUGACAGCCCCGUACACAAAAGCGCAUGUGCUGUGAGCUCGAUGAGUAGGGCGGGACACGUGGUAUCCUGUCUGAAUAUGGGGGGACCAUCCUCCAAGGCUAAAUACUCCUGACUGACCGAUAGUGAACCAGUACCGUGAGGGAAAGGCGAAAAGAACCCCGGCGAGGGGAGUGAAAAAGAACCUGAAACCGUGUACGUACAAGCAGUGGGAGCACAGGUUUACCUGUGUGACUGCGUACCUUUUGUAUAAUGGGUCAGCGACUUAUAUUCUGUAGCAAGGUUAACCGUAUAGGGGAGCCGGAGGGAAACCGAGUCUUAACCGGGCGUUAAGUUGCAGG